CACCUGUGGCAUGGGGGGGGGGCACCUGCUGUGUCUGGGGAGACAGCCAGGAGGGGCGGAGAAUUCCCCAGAAGACCCUGGACCCUGAACCCCGCUGAGGGAAGGGGGCACCCAGGGCUUAAGGCGUCAGCGGGCUGGGACAGGGUGGGGGGAUCCCGGGAGGCCAAGGGUGCGGGCGGCUCUCUGGCUCCUCUGUGGGGCCAGAAUGGGGCCCAAGGGCAGGACCCAGGGCUGGGGCCGGAGCCUGAGGGGUGUGGAGACCCUGCUUGGGGGGGCCAGGGUGGGCUCCCCGAGGAGACAACUUUGAAGAACAAGGAGAGGGAGCUGCCUAGGUGACAAAGAGCCAGAAGAAACUGUAUGUGCAAAGGCCCUGAGAUCCUCACCGCCGGCAGGGGAGGCGGGUCCGUGUCUCCGAGCUGCAUGUGGAAGGGGGCCGGGCACCUCUCUGCGCUGCCGUGGAUGGCCUGCAAAACGCUCCCCCCACCGACGCGGAAGACGAGCAAGAAACAGGCACAGGCGGCCGCGGGCAGGGGGCUCAGAACAGCCCCAGACGCAC
rnacentral:lncRNA from 1 species